rnacentral:sRNA from 1 species
GCCAGGUGCAGUGGCGCAUGCCUGUAAUCCCAGCAACUCAGGAGGCUGAGGCAGGAGGAUCCCAAGUUCAACGGCAGCCUUAGCAAUUUAGCAAGGCCCUAAGCAACACAGCGAAAUCUGUCUCUA